UACGAAGGGGGCUAGCGUUGCUCGGAAUCACUGGGCGUAAAGCGCACGUAGGCGGGUCGUUAAGUCGGGGGUGAAAUCCUGGAGCUCAACUCCAGAACUGCCUUCGAUACUGGCGAUCUUGAGUCUGGGAGAGGUGAGUGGAACUCCGAGUGUAGAGGUGAAAUUCGUAGAUAUUCGGAAGAACCCCAGUGGCGAAGGCGGCUCACUGGCCCGGUACUGACGCUGAGACGCGAAAGCGUGGGGAGCAAACAGG
rnacentral:rRNA from 1 species